ensembl:lncRNA
CAAAAUAGUAAUCAACAAUCUCAACACGUAUUUUUUGUCUUGAGCUUCAGAUGCUUAAAAAUGUCACAUGAAACUGGAUGACGCUGUUCUGCUUUGAAAGAUGUAGGAUAGUAUGCAAUAUAGGUCCGUGUACGGAUCUGGUAAUUGGAUUUUCCGUUCUGAAACGGGUAUUGAAAAACAAAAAACGAGUGGUUAUUUGAUUUUCGUUUUAAAAUACAAAAAUUAAAAUUGAAAUACAAUGCGUUUUUCCUUUUCAUGAUCAAAAAGGGAUGUACCAAAUUUUAAAAAUUCUUUGAUUUUCAUUUUAUAUUUAGAAUAACAAAAAAAUAAAAUCAGUAAGAGACAGAAACGAAAAAAAGGUCAGUUUUUUUCAUUUUCUGAGACCGGAAGCGGUCAUCAGCAAGUGUGGGCCAACAACAUUCUCAGAGGGCGGAACCAGAGAACAGUGAUUGGUCAGACCAUAGAUAAUAUAGAAGACAACGCGCUAGCAUCUAGUCUAUGUAUAUCUAUGGUCGGCACGUCUGGUAGCAUGUCUGGCUGCUGUUGACCUUGUUUUUGGAGUAAAACACGGUAAGAAGAUAAAUACUUCUAACCUGUAGCGUUAUUUUGUUGUACGUUAAGUCAGCGACUUGUGAAGAGUUGUGUUUUGUCGUGUUUGAGCAGUUGGUCCGGACGCGUUAGCUAGCUAAGCGGCUAAGUUAGCUAGCGGGCUAAUUAACACUGGUGGCUAACUUACCGCUGAACACCUGUGUUAGUUGCUGCAGCAGCUGUCCGUCAUUAUUAGAAUUACCUUCUCAACCUGUAUUUCUCUGCUGUGUAUUUUAGCUUUUAAAAAAGUUAUUUUACUUUAAGGUUAACUGAAACCCGUUGAGCUGCACUGAAGUUUAACAUUCAGCUGGUUUGAAUUAAACCGUGCUUAACUUAACAUUGUGCAGCAUUACCUCUCUGAAUCUCCAUAAUUUCAUUAAAUUCCUUCUCUCUUCCACUGCUCAAGUUCAAUCCAGUAUGUAAAAUGACAUUAAUGGUGAAUAAACUAACAACCAGCCAUUGUAUUUAUUUAUUACUGCAUGUAUUUGUAGUAAAACAUGAGAUGAAACAUCCUACUUUUGGAUCUAGAACUGCACAAGCCGUUCAUUUUCAGUCACCUGACGAGUUAAACUCCCCUUUUUAUGUGAGGUUGAAGCAGAAAGUCUGAGUUAACAAAGAAAGUUCUUUAUAAUUUGCGAUACCUGUUAUCUCUGACAGAGGCUUUAGUUUUUGUUGAGCUGAUUUACACGUAUAAACUUUGUUCAGGAAGAUUUCUCAGUAGCUCAGAGGACAGGCUGCUUUUUACACAACCUUGUAAGAGAAAGUCUGUCAAUGCUUUAAGCAGAAUUUAGAAACACAACAUUUCCUAAACAGAUAUUUUGAGGCUGUGAGGUUGAAUGUUUGAGAGUAUAUCAGUGUGUUUGUUUGUGGUCUUUCUGUUUCUAGGUGGAAGCUGAAUUAGUGAGGAUGACUCCUGCUCCUGUCAUCUCUAAGCUCCUCACACAUCUUUACCUGCACAUGAGGAAAAUCACUCCUGUAGAAUGCAGUGCUUCAUCAGAACCUCUGGGGAUGUCCUGUGGAUUAUGUGGAUCCUAUGGGUUGCAGGGUGGGUCCUACCUAGACCAGGCUGAUCCUGGACCAUCCCACAGGUGCUCAAUCAGAUCCUGGAUGUGGGGAGUGUGGAACCCAGAUGUUCAGAGGGAGAUGAUGCCACAUCUGGUCCAGCUGAUGGAAGGUCUUGAAGUUCUCUGACUGGCCUUGACUGAAGAUGGUCGUCUCACUGGAUUUAAGAUGCACAAUGAGGGACGUCUGCAGCGACUGAGAAAGAGUCUCACCACAUCCUGUCAUGAGGAAAAAGACUUUAUUGAAGACUACAAUGAGAAAAACUACCAGACAGCAGACGGCUGCAUUCAAGACCUGACCGUGAAUACCGUUGACACCCACCUGAGGGAGACGCUGCCUAAGAUCUCAAGGCUGCUU